rnacentral:rRNA from 1 species
GACGAACGCUGGCGGCGUGCUUAACACAUGCAAGUCGAACGAAGUGGCGAACGGGUGAGUAACGCGUAAUCAACCUGCCCUUCAGAGGGGGAUAACAGUUGGAAACGACUGCUAAUACCGCAUACUGAAGGAGGGGAUUGCGUGUGAUUAGCUAGUUGGGGGGGUAACGGCCCACCAAGGCGAAGAUCAGUAGCCGGGCUGGGGAGUGGGACGGCCCCAUUGGGAAUUGGGCAAGGCCCCAACCCCUUCGGGGGGCAACAGUGGGGGAACUUCCGCAAUGGACGAAAGUCUGACGGAGCAACGCCGCGGGAGUGGAGAAGGUUUUCCGGUCGUAAAGCUCUGUUUAAGAGGAGGCGGUAUCUUACCAGAAAGGGACGGCUAACUACGUGCCAGCAGCCGCGGUAAUAC